CAUCAUGCACAACUAGCCGCAGCGUCGACACAUUCAAAUGUGGAGCCUACAAUUGGACCAUGCAUGAGUUUUGUGGAAGUGGAAUAAACAGCUACAUACUUCUGGUUGUGUGUGAGAGCAGUGGUCAAUGGUCAUGCCAUUCAUUUGGUCAUGAAUGAGAAUGGAUGGCAACAAAAGAGAACGGUUUCAGGUCACAUGUAAGCGGUCAGAAACGCCAUUGAAACAUAUAUCACAACAACCGUGCACUGUUCAACAUAAAACACAGUAGGCUGUGCAUUAUUUUUACUAUUUAAAAGAAAAUUUACUAAUGUUUGACAAGUAUAAACAGAUUGGGAAAUGUGGUGCACCUGGCUACAAUAACAUCUCAUCUCAGCUGCCAAUCAGGAAAUUGUCACAUAAGGAAUGUGAGAAAUUGUAUGCCAACGCUCUCCUUGCUCCUUUUGGUACAACUGCUUAAUUAAUGGACAGUCAUGAAUGGACAAAGUAGAAAGGGAGAUGGGUAGACCCUCCUCUGGCAAGCUCUCAAAACAAGGACAGUCUUCAAUAUAUAGAGAUUCAAGUGAAGUGAGGUGGAGAAGACCCUUGUAGUUGAUUUUUCUUAGGUUGGAACAAUUUGUCAACUCAAGAGAGUUAAUAGUUGAUGGCAGCAUACUCUCCUCUGGAAAGGAUUCCAAGAUUUCAAAAUCAUCACUAACACUCAAUUGUUUUAAAGAUUUGAGUUGGAACAAACCCCACUCCUCUCUCGAAGCCUUUUCAAGGUGGAUGGCAAUUCAUUUAUCAAAAUGCCAUCACAUCUCUUUAGUUCUAGCUCACUGAUAUUACCAGCCUUGGGAAUUGACGCCUCCAACUCUUGGCAAUCAAUAAUCUCCAAUUUUUGCAAACAAGGAAGGUAUUGAGGCAGGUCACUUUUCAACUUGGGACAAUGUUUUAUACAAAGCUCUUUAAGAAAAGGGAAACCUCCACGACAUAACCAUACCUUCCAUUCAGACAUGUUCUUAAAACACAAUGUUUCAAGGGAUCUAAAUGGAACAUUUGAUGAAUUAUAGCCGCAAAACUCUGAACCAAUGAACGUUAUUCCAUGACAUCCUGAUAUGGAAAGCUUCUUGAGAGAAGGGAACUGCCCAAGUGGUGGCAACUGGGAACAAUAUUUACAUCCCAACAAUUCAAGAGAUACUAAAUUGGGUAGAUGAUGAUCCCCAAGCCAAUUAGGAAAGCUACUACCUCUGUAGUCAUUGAUGCCGAGCCUCAUGAGAUUUCUAUUUGGUCGAAGAGCCUCCAAGAUCGAGACACGUGCUUUAGUUACUGAGUGAUGAGUAAAUAAUGAGUAGUUUUUAUAUAAUAUUUGAUUUCGUUUUAUUUAGAUUUAAGUUUAUUUUAUUUUAAUAUACGGCCAUGCCACCUCCUAGGCCUACUUUUGCUGCUUUUGCUUCAUGGACAAGCUGCCUAUUUUGACCUAAAAGCCCGUGGUUUCUUGUGGAACAUUCUACUGAAUAGUUGCUUAGGUUUUAAGUCGACAUAAGACUAUAAAUAAAGUAUCUAGCUAUCACAACAAAUCAUCUUUUGUUCUCUGAAAUAAUAAGUGACAAUUGUUUCUUUGAAUAAAAGUUCACCUUUAUUUUAUGUUCUUCUUCCUCUUCUUCUCUUCUAUGUCUACAACGAACGUUAGUGAGUAGGCUCUCCUUGUCUUGGGAUUGUUGGAUAAGUCUAAUAACGUAAACCUAAUCAAACCAAACCAUAAACCCUAGUUUUAUAUAAAUCUACUUCUACUUUCUAAUCUAAUUUCACCGUUUUUAUAAUGAAUUAACAAUUACUAAGCUAAGAAGCGAAUGCGGAGGGUUUAGUAAUUGUUAAUUCAUCAUCACAAAUAUUAAGCGAAGGAUCGAAAGAUGGAUUUUUAAUAUUGAAACAAGUGAAAUUAGACAAAGGUUGCGAAACAUGAGAAUAGUCUAGCAAACCUUGAGACAUAUAAAGUUUCGUUCUUCAAGGAUUCUAAUAGAAAUCAACCAUGAGAAUAGGCGUGGUUGCUGGAGGAACACACUCACUGAGACCGAAAGGAGAUGUGAUAGGCUAAAGAGAAACUUAUCUUUAGAAAGUAGAUCAAAUAUAAAGUUAGAAGUUUAGGGUUUGUUGGUGAAGGAUUUGUUGUUAUGAUGAACCAAUAAUCCCAAUGCUCUUUUAUUUUUAUUCUUUUCUUUUAAUUAAAAAUCCAAACUUUCUCAAACUCUCAUCUAAUCAUUAUUUAAAGUUAAUUGAAUUCAUAACUCCCUGUCGGAACGAUACUCUUUUAUUGCUACAUCGGUAGAACUGUGCACUUGCGGUUUUAUCCCAUCACUGAGCCAUCCAUUUCUCUCAAUUCAUCGUACGACAAACUUAAUUCUUCUAAAUGUUUCUUAUCUUUCAAAUUUGCUGCCAUAGCAUCUGCUGGAUCAGCAACAUUUACAACCCUGAAAUUUGAAGCCUUCCUUUAAGGUGGUUGACUUCUGCCAACUGCUUAAUAUCAUAUCCAUGUUGCUCUCCCACAACAAAAUCAGUCAGAAUCUCAAGAUUGAAUAAUUCUCGUAUCUCCUUUGGCAUCUUCUUAAUAUGCGUUCCUUUCAAAUUAAGAUGACGUAAAUUGAUAAGUUUGCAAAAAUUUGAUGGGAGCUUAGUCAAUUUAAAACAUUCUUCCGGUAAGAGCGUAUGCAAAUUAUACAACAUGCAAAUGGAAUUAGGUAAGCUUGUAAUUUCAGUGUAAGAAAGGUCUAGAUAGCACAAAAGCUUUAAAUUUCUUAUCAGAUCAUCAGCUAGCUCUAAAAGAUUGGAACCAGAGAUAGACAACAUCCGCAAAUAUUUUAAUAAUUUUAAGAACAAAUUAAGCUGUCCGUCGGUGCUUAACUUAAAUCCGCAAAUAUUUUAAUAAUUUUAAGAACAAAUUAUAACUGUCUGAAAGUAAAAAUUCGACUAUUUCCUCUUUUUCACGCUCUCUACCAUAUACGAUAGAUUCAGCCAUGAAUGAUGAAGUAGCAAAAUCGCUGGCUCCAUCUUCAUAAUAAUAAGAACUAUGAAGUUGCAAUCUAUCCUUUUGAUUUGCAAGAAACUCUAACCUCUUGAGCAAUACUUUAAUCCUAGAUUCAAAUCGAUUGAUAGAACCUGAAAGAUAGCGUUGUAUCUUUCCCUUUUGUUGUGCAGCAUCAGUAGCAAUGACAUCCAAUACUUGCUCUAAUUCUUAUACCGCAUCACUGCCAUCAUCUUCACGUCUAGUUUCUCGUACUACUCUGUCUCUUCGUCAUCCAGCACUUUAUUGAUAGACUUCAGUGUGAUUUCAAGUUUUUUCACUAGCCCAUCAUUCAAGUAGUCUCUGAAAUCUGUUGAAGCUAACCUCUCAUAAAUCAAUUGAAUGAUAGGGGAAAGAAAUGCCUGACCAACAACAACCUCUGCCAUGAUAUCAAUUAAUUGAACAAAAACAAAAUGAUCUGAGCAAGCGUGUUUCACAACUCUGGGAUGUAGGCUAUAUGCAAGCGUAUUUAUUUAUUCAUUGAUUUGUUUAUUGUUACAAUACCAACCACCUCAACUCUAUUCACUUGUUUCAACCAUAUAUUCUUUUUAAAAUGAUAAACUUAUGUCAAAUAACACCUAGAGUGGGAAUAAGCUGGCCUAAGCUAUAAGUUGUUAGGCAUAAGUAUGUUGAUAAAAAAACAAAUAAUUCAAGGACUAAAUUUAAUAUGUAGUCUAUCAUAUGCUUAUGUUAUUGUUGGAGUUUUUUUAUUUUAUUUUUUUAAAUCUGAUAUGAUAAAAGUAUUUAAAUAAGUAAUAUCACAUGCAUGUUUCCCCCCAGCCGAUGGAAGAUUAGGCGAGUGUUAUUGCAACCGAAUGAGGACCAUCUGAUUCUUUCUCAACUCUUAUGCAUAGUACAUGGAUCUUGAAGACUUUCGACUAAGUCAAAGCUUAGUAGAACGGAACAAUGAGACAUGAAACUCAAGAUCCUUGUUUUUAGCACCAUUAACCACAAAGAGUGACGAGUAAGGAGUUUCGUUUCAAGGAAGAUUGUGCACUAUGGAACGUUAUCAACGGAUCAAGUUGUCAAGUUGGAAGAUGUCAGCCGAACUAGGGCACUACAUGUCAUGUCAUGUCCUUCCGUCUCCUCCAAAACCCAACUCGCACAAAAUCCACAAAUUCAUGUGUUAUUUUGUAUCAGAAAAAAAAAACAAAUCUAAAUUUUUUAGUUUUUGAAGACGGAGAUGCUCUAAAUUCCAAGUUUUUCCAAGUUAAAAAAAAAGUAAAAAAAACUUCCAAGUCUCUGUUUAGAUAUAUUAUCCGGUUCAUUGAAAGAUAUUAUCCUUUUUAUACUAAAAAAAAUUAAAAAUAAACUUCGAUACAUCAUACAUUAAAUAAGAUUUACUGUAUAAAUUAAGAAACAUUUGGAAAUGUAAAGUGAAAAUGGCCAACAAUAAUUAAGUGGUUAAUGAGCUUCCAUCGAACAACGAAAUUCGGAUGGAUGGAAUAAUUCUUAGACAAGUGAUAUUGCGGAAGAACUUUGGAAAGAUUUUAUGAGAUGAAGGAAAGGAAGAAAAAUGUAAAAUUUCGGGUUCUUUUUUAUAUGAGAAGCAAUCUAAUAGAACAAGUAAGUUGAUAAGUAAUAUGUGUUGUAAAAUUAAGCAUAAAAUAUUAUCUCUAUAAAUAAUAAACAAUAUAUAAAUAUAAUAAUUAAUUUAUAUUGAUGAGAAUAAACAAAAGAGACAAAUCAAUUAAACUUAUCUGUCUUGAUAUUGUUGUAGAAUUGACCAUCUACAUAAUUCAAUCAACAUCUUUAAACACCAAUUUGAUAAGAGAACUGCAACAUGAACAAACGGUGGAAGUAGUCUGAGACAUGCUGAUCACACUGUCUUUAAGGAUUUUCCGCUUAAUUAUACUCUAAUCCUAACAUACCCUGCUUGGUUUAAAACCAAGGAUGCAGAAGUCGCAAGAAGGAAAAUUUUCAGGAAGAUGAGAACCAAAUGUUGUGUAUAGACUCAUGAAAAAUCAAAUAAUACAUGACUUGAAGCUUAUGGUUUUUGUUGUGCUAUUGCUCACUAACCAUGAAAAGGGAGAAUUUUCUACAGUACGGUGUAAACUUCUACUCCCUUCUCAAGUGGUAAAACGUGCAGCAAUAGAGAUACACAUAUAUAUUUAGUUUUAGUGAAUUAAGGUUUGGCUAAACAAUAUUAUUUUACAUUCAAGAGAUAUUAAAGCAAAAACGGUUACAAAACUUUGGAGUUGAAAAUAUGUUACAAAACCUGGUCAAAGAUUAUAAAUAAUAAUUAGAUAAUGAUUUCUAUUAAAAUAUUUUUUAUAUAUUUCUCAAUUAAAAAUAUAGGACACAAAAUAUUUAAAACUUUUGAAAUAUACUCAAAAUUUACAACAAUAUGAAAUGCAAUCUAUAGCAGGAAAAAAUAAUGAACAUUUAGCAUAGAGAGGAAAUGACCUAGGCGUGUUUCAAGUUAUCAACUAAGUGAGAUGUGAUUGAUCAUCAAAAAAAUAAAUAAAUUGGGAAACAUCAAUACUUUGUUAUUCACUACUAAAUUUUUAAAUUGAUAAGCUUAUGAAAAAUACUGGCUGGGAAUAAAUUGGGUUGAGCUAAAAGUUGUUUAGCCUAAACUUGAUCUGAUAAAAAAUUUCAAGGAUUAAAUCUUGCAUGUAAUCUCUUAUAUACUUAAGUUUAGGUAUGAAUUUGAUCUUUUAUAAAGUUUGGUAUGACUAGUUAACCUACAUAAAAAAAAUAAUUCUAAAGGAUAACUUUUGUGAAAACAUUUAGAGUUUAUGAGAACAUUUUAUGACAUGUCCUGAAGCUGUUUUCAACUUAUCGAUAAGCUCUAAAGAUUGCUUAUGAAAAUAGUUUGACUUUAUUUUAACUUUUGUUAUAGAAACAGCAAGCACUUGUAUGAAACAUUUAUGCUUUAAGCACUUAGUUAUUUUUCCAAACAAAACCUGAUUAUGAAAGAGAGACUUUGUAUAUCAAACUUUGGUCAAAAAUAUGUUUUCUAAAUGCCUGAAAAGAAAGACAGAAUAGUGUUACUUGGCUAUCACUGAACCUCAUUUUCUCUACUAUCUUUCUCUCAAUAAAUGUCAUCAUUCAACUUCUAACAGAAAAUUACAUAUUAAUUAUGUUGUAAUCAUUACCAGUAAAAACCUUGUGAAAGAAAUAAACAAUUAUAUCCAAAUACUCGUGAAUAGGCAUAACUAUCUAUAACUGUAACCUGGACCAAAUUUGUUAAAUAAAUGAAAUGUGAAAAGGUGGUUCACAUUAUUGAUCUCCAUUUUUCCCAUAUGAAACUAUAAAUCUGAAAAAUACAGGAAUUCAUGAAAAGAAAGAUGUAUUGGACCAAAUGAGCUAUCAUUUGACAACUAAAGCAGGGAAAUUGCAUUUUCCUUUACAGAUUAAUCCAACCAAAGUUGCAAACUCAAAGAUGUCAAUUUCGAAAACUUGUCUGUGAAGACAGAAGAUGCUGUUGUAAUUACUUCUAAUCUUCAGCUACAUUCUCUCCUCGCCCUUGAUGAUGAAACGGCUGGGAGAAUCUCACCAGCAGGACCAGCAUUUAUCAAUCUGCAGUGAGAAGUACACAUAGGUCAGAGGGAUUCCGUAAAGUGGCUCGAGAGAGAUAUGAUCAAUGCAUAUAUCUUGAGUCCUGAUUCGCCAUUGUUGGAUCUAUUUUUAGGCAGUUCACCUAAGAAGGAUAUUUGCUUAACACUACGCAAAAUCUACAACCGCAACUUUUAGUGAUUACUGAACAGGAUCAAAUCUAUAUAGAUGUAAUUUAAUGAAGAGAAUCAACCGAGCAUUUAAAAUUCACUUUUUGACUGCUUGGACUCAACUGGUACGAGGACAUCAGUGGAUCAACAAAAGAAUGAGCCCAUGCUUCAAUAAUAACAGCCACAAGAAAUUUGAUUAAAUCAUGGUUCAACUAUGAUUAAAAAACACCAAAUUUCACUGAUAACAAAGUGGCAUAAAAAAAGGGCAACCCGGUGCACUAGAGCUCCUGCAUAUGCAGGGUCCGGGUUUCAAUUUUUUAUUUUCUGCAAUAUUUUCUACCACUUCUUUCUAACAAUAAAAAGUAAAACAGAAAAUCAAAGUUAAAGGACAUGUCAUAUCCUCACCUUAUAAUUGGUAGACACAAGUAAUUCUCACGCCUCUUUUUUCAAGUCUCAUGUUUUCUGGGAACCUGAAAUUAAUACAGAGUCACAAUAUUAAGAGACCCCGAAAAAGGGAUACAAAGUCACAAGAAUAACAAAGAGAAGAUUAUAUGGUGACUUAAAUUAAAAACAAUUACAUCAUGCACAACAAGUCGCAGCGUCGACACAUCCAAAUGCGGAGCCUACAAUUAGACCAUGCAUGAGCUUUGUGGAAGUAAAAUAAACAGCAACAUACUUUUGGUUGUGUGUGAGAGCAGUGGUCAUGCCAUUCGUUUGGUCACGAAUGAGAAUGGAUCGCAACAAGAGAGCAUGGUUUCAGGUCACAUGUAAGCAGUCAGAAACACCAUUGAAACAUAUAUCACAAACACAGUGCACUGUUCAACA
rnacentral:lncRNA from 1 species